rnacentral:rRNA from 1 species
AUGAAAGCUGGCGGCAGGCUUAACACAUGCAAGUCGAGCGGGGAAGGGUAGCUUGCUACCUGACCAGCGGCGGACGGGUGAGUAAUGCUUAGGAAUCUGCCUAUUAGUGGGGGACAACAUUCCGAAAGGAAUGCUAAUACCGCAUACGCCCUACGGGGGAAAGCAGGGGAUCUUCGGACCUUGCGCUAAUAGAUGAGCCUAAGUCAGAUUAGCUAGUUGGUGGGGUAAAGGCCUACCAAGGCGACGAUCUGUAGCGGGUCUGAGAGGAUGAUCCGCCACACUGGGACUGAGACACGGCCCAGACUCCUACGGGAGGCAGCAGUGGGGAAUAUUGGACAAUGGGCGCAAGCCUGAUCCAGCCAUGCCGCGUGUGUGAAGAAGGCCUUUUGGUUGCAAAGCACUUUAAGCGAGGAGGAGGCUACUUGGAUUAAUACUCUAGGAUAGUGGACGUUACUCGCAGAAUAAGCACCGGCUAACUCUGUGCCAGCAGCCGCGGUAAUACAGAGGGUGCGAGCGUUAAUCGGAUUUACUGGGCGUAAAGCGUGCGUAGGCGGCUUUUUAAGUCGGAUGUGAAAUCCCUGAGCUUAACUUAGGAAUUGCAUUCGAUACUGGGAAGCUAGAGUAUGGGAGAGGAUGGUAGAAUUCCAGGUGUAGCGGUGAAAUGCGUAGAGAUCUGGAGGAAUACCGAUGGCGAAGGCAGCCAUCUGGCCUAAUACUGACGCUGAGGUACGAAAGCAUGGGGAGCAAACAGG